rnacentral:rRNA from 1 species
GCCUAACACAUGCAAGUCGAGCGCGCCUUCGGGCGAGCGGCGGACGGGUUAGUAACGCGUGGGAACGUGCCCAGAUCUACGGAAUAGCCACUGGAAACGGUGAGUAAUACCGUAUACGCCCUUCGGGGGAAAGAUUUAUCGGAUUUGGAUCGGCCCGCGUUAGAUUAGGUAGUUGGUGGGGUAACGGCCUACCAAGCCUACGAUCUAUAGCUGGUUUUAGAGGAUGAUCAGCAACACUGGGACUGAGACACGGCCCAGACUCCUACGGGAGGCAGCAGUGGGGAAUCUUGGACAAUGGGGGCAACCCUGAUCCAGCCAUGCCGCGUGAGUGAAGAAGGCCCUAGGGUCGUAAAACUCUUUCGCCUGUGAUGAUAAUGACAGUAGCAGGUAAAGAAACCCCGGCUAACUCCGUGCCAGCAGCCGCGGUAAUACGGAGGGGGUUAGCGUUGUUCGGAAUUACUGGGCGUAAAGCGCACGUAGGCGGAUUAGAAAGUUAGAGGUGAAAUCCCGGGGCUCAACCCCGGAACUGCCUUUAAAACUACUAGUCUAGAGUUCGAGAGAGGUGAGUGGAAUUCCGAGUGUAGAGGUGAAAUUCGUAGAUAUUCGGAGGAACACCAGUGGCGAAGGCGGCUCACUGGCUCGAUACUGACGCUGAGGUGCGAAAGUGUGGGGAGCAAACAGGAUUAGAUACCCUGGUAGUCCACACCGUAAACGAUGAAUGCCAGUCGUCGGGUAGUAUACUAUUCGGUGACACACCUAACGGANUAAGCAUUCCGCCNGGGGA